rnacentral:tRNA from 1 species
AUUUAAAUAAUUUAAAUAAAAUAUUGAUUUGUGGAGUCAAAAAUAUGAAUAUAUCUCAUUUUAAAUU